AUUGAACGCUGGCGGCAGGCCUAACACAUGCAAGUCGAACGAGUGGCGGACGGGUGAGUAAUGUCUGGGAAACUGCCCGAUGGAGGGGGAUAACUACUGGAAACGGUAGCUAAUACCGCAUACCAUCGGAUGUGCCCAGAUGGGAUUAGCUAGUAGGUGGGGUAACGGCUCACCUAGGCGACGAGCCCUAGCGGGUCUGAGAGGAUGACCCGCCACACUGGACCUGAGCCACGUUCCAUACUCCUCCGGGAGGCAGCAGUGGGGAAUAUUGCACAAUGGGCGCAAGCCUUAUGCAGCCAUGCCGCUUGUAUGAAGAAGGCCUUCGGGUUGUAAAGUACUUUCAGCGAGGAGGCGUUACUCGCAGAAGAAGCACCGGCUAACUUCGUGCCAGCAGCCGCGGUAAUUC
rnacentral:rRNA from 1 species